rnacentral:lncRNA from 1 species
UUUUAUAGAUGGUGGACCAUAAAGAAAUCAAAUCCUGUAUGUUACACAAUUGAAAAAGAAGAUGGUGGACCCACCGGUCCUUCUUCUUCACUAAUAGCUGUGUUUUCUUUCCGUAAGGGUAAUUUUGUAAACUUAUUUUUGUCCAUGUUAGGCUCUGUAAUUCAGUCCGUAUAGAACUUGGGCCCCUAUCCUUAUGGUUAGUUUUGAGGUGUUUUUAGUUAAAGAAAAGUAUAAGGUGGUGUUUUGUUAAAAUACUUUGGUCCAAGCCUUUUUCAUUAAAACUCUUAUUAAAGCCUUUUUCAUUAAAGUUUUCUUAAAAUUUUGAUCUCUCUAGCAUUGAUUUAUUUGUUGACUAAAACAAACUUUCCUAUUUUUAGGGGCAGCUUUCGUCUUGGUAUCCAAGAAAUUUAACCCUUUUGAAUCAUAUGAUUGGUUGAUGAAUUUAACAAGAUAUUUAUACUUAUUAAUCCUUUUGAAUUGGAAAAGGAUUUUCGUCGGAUCAUUUUUUUGGGCAUCAUAGGGAUCUUAUGAUCGUAAUCGUUCAUCGUAUAUCGUACGGUAAAAAAUUAUUUUAAAAUUUAAAAUUAAAUAUAAAUAGUAUUUAACGAAAACUGAUCGCACGAUAUACGAUGAACGAUGACGAUCAUGAAAUUCUUA